CCUACGGGGGGCUGCAGUGGGGAAUAUUGGACAAUGGGGGGAACCCUGAUCCAGCCAUGCCGCGUGUGUGAAGAAGGCCCGCGGGUUGUAAAGCACUUUCAGUGAGGAAGAACGCCUGGUGGUUAAUACCCAUCAGGAAAGACAUCACUCACAGAAGAAGCACCGGCUAACUCCGUGCCAGCAGCCGCGGUAAUACGGAGGGUGCGAGCGUUAAUCGGAAUUACUGGGCGUAAAGCGCGCGUAGGUGGCUUGAUAAGCCGGUUGUGAAAGCCCCGGGCUCAACCUGGGAACGGCAUCCGGAACUGUCAAGCUAGAGUGCAGGAGAGGAAGGUAGAAUUCCCGGUGUAGCGGUGAAAUGCGUAGAGAUCGGGAGGAAUACCAGUGGCGAAGGCGGCCUUCUGGACUGACACUGACACUGAGGUGCGAAAGCGUGGGUAGCAAACAGGAUUAGAUACCCGUGUAGUC
rnacentral:rRNA from 1 species